rnacentral:rRNA from 1 species
AUUGAACGCUGGCGGCAGGCCUAACACAUGCAAGUCGAACGAGUGGCGGACGGGUGAGUAAUGUCUGGGAAACUGCCUGAUGGAGGGGGAUAACUACUGGAAACGGUAGCUAAUACCGCAUACCAUCGGAUGUGCCCAGAUGGGAUUGGCUAGUAGGUGGGGUAAAGGCUCACCUAGGCGACGAUCCCUAGCUGGUCUGAGAGGCUGACCGGCCCCACUGGAACUGAGACACGGGCCAGACUCCUACGGAAGGCAGCGGUGGGGAAUAUUGGACAAUGGGCGCAGGCCUGAUGCAGCCAUGCCGCGUGUAUGAGUAAGGCCUUCGGGUUGUAAAGUACUUUCAUCGGGGAGGCGUUACCCGCAGAAGAAGCACCGGCUAACUCCGUGCCAGCAGCCGCGGUAAUUC